AAACUAGGAUUAGAUACCCUAUGGGUUUGAAUAAGAAUUUGAUAGUUAUGUAAUAACUGUGAAAUCAAAAGAUUUUGGCGGUAUUCUAAGCUCGUUAGAGGAAUUUGCUCUUUAAUUGAUACAACACCGAGAUCUUACUUGAAUUGGUUAAGUCAAUUUGUAUAUCGCUAUCAAUAAAUUAUAUUGUAUGAUUUAUAAUUAAAAAAGUUUUUUUAUUAAUAUGUUAGGUCAAGAUGCAGUUUAUAUUUAAGAAUGAAGUGAAUUAUGGUUAUUUAUAUAGGGUGCAGAUGAAAUUGUAAUUAAGAUUUAAAAGUAAAAUGGAAUUAUAAUGUCUGUUUGAAGAGAGCUCUAGAAUAUGUACACAUCGCCCGUCGCUCUCAUU
rnacentral:rRNA from 1 species